CUACUUCCUUUCUUCCACAGAACCCAUCUUCUUCAAGCCCCGUUCUUCCAAGAACUCCUCUGCUUAAAGAGUUCAAAACAAGAUCAAAACUCCCCCAAGCUCUUUAAAUCCCUCAACUUCCUCAAAUCUACAAGCAAGGCAAGCUAGGGUUCGGCGAUCUUUUGACUUGGGUUCAAACAUCAGUUGAUCUUGGGCCUCUCUUCUUCUCAAUUCCUUUUUGAAUCCAGGAACCAAAGCUUCUUCUUUGGGAUUUUACAGUUUUCAAUUCGUCUCUUUUUUUCGCAAUUCCCCUUUGCUGAGCUCAAUUCUUCAUCCUCAGGUAAAUUCUCAUUCUCUUAUUCUCAAUCUUACUAAUUUUCUUUUUUUUUUAUAUUUUUUACUUUGGAGGAUAACUGAAACUCUGAGUUUAAUUCUGAAUGAGAACUGAUCUUGAAAUACUUGACCGUGAAUAUUGAUCUGAUUGCUUCAUGUCUGAAGUAUUUGUUUGAUUGUGUGCAAUUUUGGAUGAUAGCCAAUGCAUUGCUUUUAGUCUUGGACAAAACCCUUAACUUGACCGAGAUUGAACUCACAGUUAUGCAUGGGGCUUGGACCAAACUCGGGUAUUUUGAUGAAAACCGAAACUGGGUGUUGAUUUUAGGCAUAAACUGAGGCCACAGCUUGUAUUCCGUUUGAGAACCACAACUUGAGAUAUGUGUAUAAGGCGUUUGUCUUGGUUUCCGGGAAACAAAAGUGAGUCCUUGAACCUGAGUAUGGCCGAGAACUUUUGUCUUUUGAUUCUUGUAUGCCUUCGGUUUUGGACUUGGAUGUUGUAUGAGUUGAAGAAAGAUUAUGGUUGUUUAUGAAGUUAAUGAGAACUGAGUUUGUUGUUGUGCGGA